UGUGCGGAACCAGCCGGGGGAGGUCCGAAAGGGCCGGGCUGGGGGCUGGGGGAUGCCUCCCCCCCCCCCCAGGCUCUGCCCCGGCAGCCGCGCAGAUCCGGGGGGCGCUGCCCUAGGGGUGCGCCGAGGAGCCGGGCUGCCCCCCCUCCAGGGCACCGGGCGCUGGGCACGGCAUGCACAGAUGUCUACCGAGGCUUCUCGGACUGCGUCCUGAAACUGGGGGAGAACAUGGCCACGUACAAGGAGGAGGAGAGCAUCGAGCCCCAGGGGCUGCACCGGGUCUGUGGGUACUGGGAUGAAUUUCACAUCUGUGCCCUGACCGUGCUCUGGGAGUGCCAGAAGGAAGCAGCGGCUGUCUGGGAGAUGCUGAGGAGGGAGUCCCAGAAGGUCAAGUUUCGAGGCAGUUUGUUUGACCUCUGCAGCCCCAGCACGGCCCAGAGCUCUGCCUGGACCCAGGUUCCCAAACUUUCUGUCCUCGGCAUCCCCCUCAUCGUCACUUGGCUGAACUCAGGACCCGCAGCUCUGUAAGUACCGCAGCAGAGGUGGGGGCAGCGCAUCGUGGCACCUUUCUGAUUAUUUUCUGCUCCAAACCCUUGAGGACUGCAAUGUGUGGUGCUCAGUGAACGCUCAGCGCUGUCCUGUAUCUGAGACAUGGAAGAGCUCGGCAGCGUCUUGUGGGUUUUUGUUCCUCUGUAAUUUGGGAUAAUGCUUGUCCCCCUUUUGCCUCAAGGCGCAGGCGUGGCUCUGGCUGCCUGCAGAAUUUGUGGACUGUACACGUGGGAUGGAGGACUUGGGGAAAAAUGGGAAAUCGGUUGUGAACGCUGAAUUCUUUUGCACUCUUCUAUGGUUAUUGGAUGGAAACCUGUUUGUGUAGCUGCCUGCUUCCACCAGAUCAACUCCUCCGACUUUUGACUUAGGCACUGAAAAUUAGAUGGGAAUUUUCACACCUGGUAUUUGUGAGGUGCUGGGGAUGGUGUAUGUCCUGCCACCAGCAUAGAGGUACUGGCCAUCUGUCUCUGAGGACACUUUGAAAACCCACUAAAGAAUAAUCACAGGUGCAUGACUUCUUCACUAGCACACAUCUGGACUCCUGAGUAACUCCUGUAUUAUGUGUAAAUCCCUUUUCUAAGGAAAUGGAAAGGCAAAAGUACUUGUGAGGAGAAGCUACCUUUUAAAAAUGUAUUUAUGGUAACUCUUGCUUUACAGCUUUUCCCAAUGGUACCUGUAAGCAGCUCUGUGGGUAACUCUGUGUAAUUCCAGAGAAUUAAAUCUUGUUGUACAGGCUGA